CCCAACCCUUCCCCCCGCCCCGCCUUCUAAAUACACACACACACACACAUUCACUGACAGAUCCGCAUACACUCGCUAACAGAAACACACACACACACUAACAGACACACACUCACUGACACAAUCUCACACUGACACACACACACACACACAUACACACUCACUAGCACACACACUCACAUUCACUGACAGAUCCGCAUACACUCGCUAACAGAAACACACACACACUCACUGACACACACUCAGACACACACACACACACUAACAGACAAACAGUCAGACACACACAUACACACUAACAGACAAACAGUCAGACACACACACUAACAGACACACACUCACUAGCAGACACACACACAAACUCACACACACUAACAAACACACAUUAACAGACACACUCACUGAC